rnacentral:rRNA from 1 species
UGCGCAGGCGGUUUCUUAAGUCAGAUGUGAAAGCCCCGGGCUUAACCUGGGAACUGCGUUUGAAACUGGGAGACUUGAGUGUGGCAGAGGGGGGUGAAAUUCCACGUGUAGCAGUGAAAUGCGUAGAUAUGUGGAGGAACACCGAUGGCGAAGGCAGCCCCCUGGGCUAACACUGACGCUCAUGCACGAAAGCGUGGGGAGCAAACA